ensembl:lncRNA
GUAUUACAGUUUUUUCUGAAUGCUUAAGCACUAAUCGUGAUUCUUGUAGCACAAUUUCUAAAACUAUUAAUACGUAUAGCAAAACCACUCACUGACUUUGCAAAACUAAAAGCACAAACACUGCUUUGCACUCAGUUUGCAAUUUUGUAACACACACUUUGCAAAACUGUAGGCACAAUUCACUGCACAACACUCUUUUUGCAGAACUUUAAACACAACUCACUGCUUACACUCAAUUACCAAAUUUCCAACACACUCCUUGCAAAAUUAUACACAUGUAUGGCUAUCAUUAACACUAUUUUGCCAACUGUCUGGCACACUUUCACAUGUGAAAACUGUUUUAGAUAAUUAGUUCACUUUGCAAUCAGCCUAAGCACUAUAAAUAAGCCACAGGUAAGCUGUCUGUGUGGAGUACAAUGGAAGGAGCAGUAAGAGUGAGAAGAGUGAGAAUCAGAGGAGGCAGAGGAGGCCGAGGGAGAGGACGUGGAGGUGAAGAAGUUGGAGGAAGAGGACGUGGAGGUGAAGAAGCGAGAGGGUUAGAGGAAGUUAGAGGAAGAGGACAAGGAGGAGCAAGAAGAGGACGAAGAGGGGAAAGAGGAAGGGUAAGAAGAGUAAGAAAUAGAAUAACUGAUGACAUCAGAGCUACAAUAGUGGACCAUGUCAUCAACCAUGGGAUGACCCUGAGGAAAGCUGGCCAACGGGUUCAGCCUAAUUUGAGCCGCUACACUGUGGCAAGCAUCAUUAGGACAUUUCGAAAUGAGAAUCGAAUUGCUAGACGUCCAGAUGUUGGGGGCAGAGGAAGAAUGUUCACUCCAGAGCAAGAGACCCAUAUAGUGAACAUGGUGAUUGCCAAUAAUGCAAUAAGACUGUGCGAAAUACAGCAGCGCAUAAUUGAUAAUGACACCAUCUUUCAAAAUAUACACAGUGUAAGCAUUUCUGCACUAAGUCAUGUACUUGCGCGCCACACAAUAAGAAUGAAGCAAAUUUACAGAGUUCCUUUCGAGAGAAACACAGAACGUGUAAAGCAACUGCGAUAUGACUAUGUGCAGAGAGUGAUGGAACUAGAAGCAGAUGCCAUGGGACAUGAGCUACUUUUUGUAGAUGAGGCCGGUUUUAACCUCAGUAAAACCAGGAGACGAGGCAGGAACAUUACUGGACACCGUGCCAUCAUCAAUGUCCCAGGACAACGUGGUGGUAUCAUAACCAUGUGUGCAGCUAUAAGCCAAAAUGGUGUUGUUCACCAUCAUGCAACCAUAGGCCCAUACAACACUGCACACAUUAUUGCAUUCCUGGACACCUUACAUGACAUGCUCACUGUUCAGAGACCAGAGCAUACCCGAUAUGUCAUCAUAUGGGACAAUGUUAGUUUCCAUAGGGCUGCUUUGGUCCGCAACUGGUUUACAGACCACCCAUCCUUCAUGGCACUCAACCUCCCUCCAUACUCUCCAUUCUUACAGUUUUUACCAAUUGCUUACACACAUUUUCAAAACUAAGUCUCCUUUUUUCAAAACUCUACACACAGUUCUCAAAACUGCACACACAAAAUGCAAAAUGCCUCACAUCUCCUUCAAAAUGCAACACUGCAUUCAAAAUGCCAUAAACACAUGUCAGAAUGAAGCAUUUGCAUCAAAUGGCAAACACUUCUUUCAUAAUAAUAAACUUUUGGAUAUACCAUGUAAACACUGCUGUUCUAAAUCUAAAGCUCUUUGGUCUUUCAUAAGCUUAUAUCUACAUUUCAAUACAAUGUUCUACAGUGGAAGUAAUCUGCUGAGAGGUGUAACAAGUACACCGGAAACGCCAAUUCAAUGUAGAAACAGAAAAUAUUUAUUAUGCCAAACAUUACUGUUGUAUACAUUAGCAUACAACAAAACUAUAAACAUGUUAACCAAAAGUAUAUUCUUUACAGUAGAAUACAGUAAAUUGUGCGUGGGGUCCCGGUCCAGGAAUUGGCAGGGGGGGCGGGGGUGUGCAGUCCCCAGUGCUAAGCUUCAUCUCUUCUCCGAGCUGGGUCUGGCCACAAUACUUCGUCCACAUCACAAGAUACAUUUUCUUUUGCCAAACAUCGAGGGAAGUAUCUCCUAGCAUGGCGUAUCCAACCUUGGACAGAGGCAACCUCUAUGUCCCCACAUGCGUCCUCCAUUGCCGGGAUUUACAUCCCGUGGUAACUAGGAUUUACACAAGCUCCAGUCUGGAUCCAGAACACCUGAGAAGAGAUGAUGCCAACCCCUCAGAGGACCUCAGAUGAUGCUAACCCAGAGACAACAUACAGAACUACCACAUUUUGCUCUAAGUUUGAUUGCAUAAUUGCUGUUAAUAGUGUUAAUCGUCUGUUUGUUUACGUCUUUUAUUGAUUUUUCUGAACAUUUCUGCCGUAUACACAUAAACUGACAGUCACCACUGAUAAGCUACUACUAAAUAUUGUAGAAACUUAAUUUUCUGUAAAGUUGCUUUGCAAUGAUUUUUAUCGUAAAAAGCGCUAUACAAAUAAACUUGAAUUGAACUGAACUGAAUUGGAGAAGCGGCAUGUGGGCAAAGGGUUGGUGAUCAUACACUUUCCAGUGCCAGGCUGAGAAGAAUUCCUCUAUGGGAUUUAGAAAAGGUGAAUAUGGGGGUAGGUACAAAACUACAAAUUGUGGAUGGGUGGCAAACCAGUUUUGGACCAGAACAGCCCGGUGAAAACUAACAUUGUCCAAUAUAACAACAAAUCUAGCAGGCGCCUGAUCUGGAUCAGGGAAAAGCAUUGUGUGAAUUGCAUCCAGAAAAGUGAGUAUAUGGGUGGUGUUGUAUGGACCCAGUGUGGCAUUGUGAUGGAGGACCCCGUUUUGAGUGAUGGCAGCACACAUGGUUAUAUUACCCCCAUGCUGUCCAGGGACAUUGGUAAUUGCCCUCUGUCCUAUUACAUUUCGUCCACGGCGCCUGGUUUUGGUGAGGUUGAAGCCAACCUCAUCCACAUAAGUAAAUUUGUGGUGAAUUACAUGGGCAUCCAUCUGCAAUACUCUCUGUAACAGACAAAAUUAUAUACAGAUGAGUAAAUAUGGUAUGUCUGAAGUACUGGAAGUAGUGUUGCAUACAUACCUCUACAAAGUCAUGUCGCAGAUUCUUGACUCAGAUUUUUUCUCAAAUGGCACCUUGUAAAGUUGUUUCAUCGUCACUUGGUGCCGUUGGAGGAUGCGUUGUAUGGUCGACAGGCUUACAGCAUUGAUGUUGUUGAAUAUGGUGUCAUUAUUCAAGAUAUGCUCUCCUAUCUCUCGAAUCCUUAUUGCAUUGUUGGCCAAAACCAUAUUUAUAAUUGCAGUCUCUUGUACAUCUGUAAACAAGCGUCCUCGUCCUUGAUGAUGUCUUUGCCUUCCCACUCUGUACAGAAUUCAAACACAGUAUGUGUUCAGCAUAGGAACUGUAAACCAUUUAAAAAAAAUGUAGUACAGCAUGAUAACCAACCUCAUUCAUUCAAUGCAGUGCAGUAAAUGGAUGGCUUAGAGUUACAAAUGUUUAUGCAAUACUAUGCAGUCAUACGUACUUUACAGUACAUUACUAUAAUGCUAAAAUAGUCAUUAGAUAGUUCUAUACCUGUUCUCAUUUCUGAAGGUUCGAAUUAUGGACACCACUGUAAAUCGACUCAAGCUGGGCUGGACUCUCAGUCCAGCCUCUCUCAUGGUCAAACCGUGGUUGAUUACAUGAUCAACAAGUGUUGCCCUAAUCUCAUCAGAGAUGGCUCUCCUUCCUUCUCUUAUUUGCCCUCGUCCUCUUCUUCCUCUUCCCCUUCCCCUUCCCCUUCCUCCUCCUCCUGGUAUUUGUCCUCGUUGACCCCUGCCUCUUCCUCCUACUCCUCUUGCUCUCUGUUGAUUGUUAGCAUCCAUUGUUCAAAACAGGUAAUCUGAUCUUUGACCUAUUUAUAGGCCUAUCUAUACUACUGUAAAGUAAAUCAGUGAUUGGUUAGUGAUCAGUUAAGCAAUUAGUGUUUGCACAUGUGAGGAGUGUGUCUGUGUGACCUGGUGAGUAAGUGUAGCAUUGUGUUUGGAAAAGGAAAGCAAGUCACUUCCUGAUAGAUCUUUGUGUUUUAGGUAGAGAAUUGUGUGUAGUGUUUUGAAAAAAAGGGUUUUAUGCAAUUGAAAACUGAGUCAAAGGCUGAGAAAUAGCUUAUGGUUUUGAAGAUUUGGCAUGUAGUUUUGCACUUUGAGUGAGAGGUUUCAAAAAUCGUGUGACAUGAAAAGAUUUUGUGUGUAAGCAGUUGGUAAAAACUGUAAAUCCCAUCGAGGAGUUCUUCUCUGCCUGGCGCUGGAAAGUGUACGACCAUCAUCCUCAUCAACAGGUAGCCCUUUUACAGGCAAUGGAGGAGGCAUGUGGAGAUAUUGACCAGGCAUCAUGUCAGGCCUGGAUAUGGCAUUCAAGGAGAUAUUUUCCCCGGUGCCUUGGACUGGAGGAUAUCGCAUGUGAUGUGGACGAAAUUUUGUCGCCGGACCCAGAAAGACGACAUGAUGUAGGCUGAUUGUCUUUUUAUUUUCUUUUUUUUUUUUGUGAAAUUACUAUUUUGUGUUCUGACUUUGUCUUGGUUUUGAUGAGUGUGAAUAAACACCAAUACUUGAAGUUUGGAUCCUUGUAUGUUUACAUGACACUAUGACAAAAGUAUGACCUCAAAUUGACAUCUGUACACAGAUAAAGCAAAAGCCAGAUGUGUUUUGUAUUCAUACCAUCAGUGUGUAGUUGGCACAUUGUGUGCUUAGUAGAUGAUGGCUUGUGUUUACUGUUUGAUACGAAAACACCAUUUUUACGAAGGUGUGAAGCGUUAAUCUAGCUGUGUUCGCUUUUGCAAGAGAACUACAAUGUUUUGAUAAUUGGGUGAAAGGUUUUCUUAUUUGUGUGUAGAGUUUUGCAAAAAUAGCCAAUAGUUACAAAAAAUGUGCUUAAGCAAUCAGAAAAAAACUGUAACAUUACAAUAAAAAGUAACAAAAUGAACGCCACCCUGCAUAAUUAAGUAAAAGUAUAUAUUUUAAUUAGAAAUGUACUCAAGUUAGUACAAGUACCCAUCUUACAAAUUUUCCAAAAAUUUAAUCAAGCAGGAGUAAAUGGACUGCCCAAUUUGAUAUACAAAUGGCUGUUAUAAUGCUCCAACAUCAGGCUCAGGUUCACCAAAUAUUAAAUAAGAUAAACCCAACAAAUCCAUCAUUUCCAGCAUAACGAAUCAACAAUCUGAAAAUCAAAGAAAGCAUUUGAUCAAGGUCGUAGUAUUUUACAUUACAUUUUCCAAUUUGCCACAGGCUAACCUUCACACCUUAUGCAUUAAAAAGCUGCUCAGACAGAUUCUCUCAGAUGUUCCGGAGCUUGUCAUGCCUCCUUUUAUUAAGCAUCUCUCCUUAGGGGUAGUCAAAAAGAAACUACUCCAAAACAACAACAACAACAACAACAAAAAACAUCUUUGCUUUUAUGCUGGUCAUGUGAUGUUGAUGUUUUUUCUAUUAGCUUUGGUUUCCCCCCCAGUGGCUUAUUUUCACAUUGUCAGAUUUUUGACUGUUGUUGUUAUGCUUUCCUGUACAGCAGCAGCCCAAAAGAUGUAUCAGGAGCUGACAAUCUCCCUUUGUUUAUGUUUAUAAUGAAAUGGCUGUCCUUGCAGGAUGCCUGUGUGUGAGAACUUUAUCAGUGCUCUGCAUGCUGAUUGGAACUAGCAGUGUUUGUGUUAUCAGGACAGACAUCCAGAUAAAGCAUUCAGCCAAUCACUUCAGAAACAUCUGGAGAUAACUGUCCUAUUGUUGAUUUUCG